GAUGAACGCUAGCUACAGGCUUAACACAUGCAAGUCGAGGGGAAACGACAUCGAAAGCUUGCUUUUGAUGGGCGUCGACCGGCGCACGGGUGAGUAACGCGUAUCCAACCUGCCCACUACUUGGGGAUAACCUUGCGAAAGUAAGACUAAUACCCAAUGAUAUCUCUAGAAGACAUCUGAAAGAGAUUAAAGAUUUAUCGGUGAUGGAUGGGGAUGCGUCUGAUUAGCUUGUUGGCGGGGUAACGGCCCACCAAGGCUACGAUCAGUAGGGGUACUGAGAGGAAGGUCCACCACAUUGGAACUGAGACACGGUCCAAACUCCUACCGGAGGCAGCAGUGAGGAAUAUUGGUCAAUGGGCGAGAGCCUGAACCAGCAAAGUAGCGUGCAGGAUGACGGCCCUAUGGGUUGUAAACUGCUUUUAUAAGGGAAUAAAGUGAGCCUCGUGAGGCUUUUUGCAUGUACCUUAUGAAUAAGGACCGGCUAAGUCCGUGCCAGCCGCCGCAGUAA
rnacentral:rRNA from 1 species